CAAGUAAGAGGAUGAAAUGAUAUAGCUUUUCAAAAGAGAAGUAAAACGACAGAAGCAAGCAUCUCAGUUGUCUUAGUUGAAAGUUCAUAACAUCAUUGUUGAAAUAAGAAGCUCAAUCUUUCAGAAAUUUUUUUUUUUUUAAAUAGCAAAUACUUUUUCUUAGCAUGGAGAGUUGACACUGUUUAGUCAUUUUUGGGAGAAAAUUGUAAUUCAAAAUUCCAUAGGGGCAAAUUUUGUAAUUUCCGCUUCAGUCACUUCCCACUUGCAGGCAAAAUCUUUCCUUCACCAAACGCAAGCUCGCAAAAACCCCCUCUUGGAGUAAUGAAGAGACCACCUUUCCAUCGGAAUUCUCUUCAUCCCAAUAAAACCUGAAACUCCCUUUGUUUUUCUUUUUUUUCCCACUUCCAAUUUUGUUUAAGCAAGAUUCAAUCCUUUUUGUUUCUUUCUUUUCUUUUUUUUUGUAGAUUAUUGACUUAUUGAUAGAAAUGGCUCUUGAAUCCUCAAUUCUCCGCCAACCCACGUUCAUUUCUUCAACAAAGUCAUCAUCUUUCGUGCUUUUUAAUCGAAAUUUGAAGUACCCAUCAAAGUUUUUAUCCAAAACUAAUCACUACCCAACUCCUGUUAUUUCAAGCUUUCCCAAUCCCCAAGUUUUCAAAGCCUUUGGAUUGCCAAAAACUGGUGCUUUUGGAAGUCAAACACGUUUGGGAUUGUUAAGUGAAGAAAAUGAAGAUGUGGGUAAUGAUCGGAAUUUGAUUUUGGUGAAAAGAGGAAUUUUGGUGGCAAUGGUUUGUGGACUAUUGGUUUUUGGUUGUAAAAGAGUGUCUGGUGUAGAAGGACUAGUUAAUGCUGGUUAUGGAGUGAUUGGGCAGUCCAUGUCGUUGUUGAGGAAUGCUUGGCCUAAGGUAUCUAUGCUUCUUAAAGUGUUCAAGGAGCAAGGUUUGGUUUUGACAGCGCUUUUAGGUCUGUCUGCUUUCUUCUCCAUGGCAGAGACUGCUAUAACUACAUUAUGGCCUUGGAAGAUACGUGAGCUGGCUGAAAAAGAGUCCGAAGAUGGUGUUUUCAAAAUGCUUCGUAGUGAUGUAACUCGGUUUCUCACGACCAUUCUUAUUGGCACCACUGUGGUCAACAUUGGAGCAACUGCUUUAGUCACAGAUGCCGCAACAGCAAUAUUUGGGGAAGCUGGUGUUAGUGCGGCAACUGGAGUAAUGACCGUUGCCAUAUUGCUUCUAACUGAGAUCACUCCAAAGAGUAUAGCCGUUCACAACCCCACAGAGGUUGCCAGUUUUGUGGUCAGGCCAGUUGCAUGGCUUUCUGUAAUACUCUAUCCAGUGGGAAGAGUUGUCACAUAUCUAUCAAUGGGAAUGCUCAAAACUCUUGGUCUAAAAGGAAAAAGCGAACCUUAUGUUACUGAAGAUGAACUAAAGCUAAUGUUACGAGGGGCAGAGUUGAGUGGAGCAAUAGAGGAGGAGGAGCAGGAUAUGAUUGAAAAUGUGUUAGAGAUAAAAGAUACCCAUGUUAGGGAGGUGAUGACACCUCUUGUCGAUGUAGUUGCAAUUGAUGCAAGCUCAACACUUGUUAAUUUCCACAAUUUGUGGUUGACUCAUCAAUAUUCAAGGGUACCUGUUUUUGAGCAGCGUGUUGACAAUAUAGUGGGUAUUGCAUAUGCUAUGGAUCUACUAGAUUAUGUUCCAAAGGGUGAACUACUAGAAAGUAUUACUGUGGGAGAUAUGGCUCACAAACCUGCAUACUUUGUGCCUGAUUCAAUGUCAGUCUGGAAUCUUCUUAGAGAGUUUCGCAUCAGGAAGGUUCACAUGGCUGUUGUUCUUAAUGAAUAUGGUGGAACUGUUGGAAUAGUCACCUUAGAAGAUGCAGUUGAGGAGAUUGUUGGUGAGAUUUUCGAUGAAAAUGAUUCAAAAGAGGAGAUCCAGAAGAAAACUGGCUACAUUGUAAUGCGAGCAGAGGGAAUCUUUGAUGUUGAUGCUAAUACAUCUAUUGAUCAACUUUCUGAAGAUCUAAAUAUCAAAAUGCCAGAGGAACAUCAAUACGAGACAGUGUCAGGUUUUGUCUGUGAGGCAUUUGGAUAUAUUCCAAGGACUGGUGAGAGUAUUAAGGUAGUCCUUGAAAAGGAAAAUGAAGAAGAUGAUGAGAAUUCCGAAGCUGGAUCUGAUCGCCAAGAUCUGAAGGAAAGGCAUCAAAAUUAUAAACUUGAGAUAUUAGCAGGAAAUGCCCGAAAAGUUAGUGCCAUUCGAUUUGAACGGAUAAACAAUGGGGAAGCACUAUUAGAUGCCACAGCAAUAACUCCGAUGAUUCCAAAAAUCAUGAAGAGGAAAUGGACCAGUGAUGAAGAAUCAAAUAACGGUAACCAUGAUGAAGAUACAUUUGAAAAGAGGCAAGAGGAUGACAUCUCAGAUGACUAUGUAAUUGCAGAUUAUAAAGAGGAUAAAGAGAGUCCCAAUGGACAGUAGCUAUAUUACACUAUUUGUUUUUUCUCUUUUCCCCUCAACACUCCUUUUUUCCCUCCAAAUUUCUUACAGCUCCAUAAGAAGAGAUGAAGUGAAGUGUCAACAUCUGAAUCAUUAAGGAUAGAUGUAUGCAUGACAGUAUCUCUCGGUCGUGAAUUUGACAAAAUUGGAGUCUCAAUAACUUGAUGCUGGGUAUGCAUGCUCUGCAUUCUAGAUUCACUGUAGAGAUAUCUUUGGAGAGGAGCUCUAGGCUGAAGGAUGAAGGAUGAAUGGAAAAACGAUUGGGAUGCUUCAUGAGGUAUGGCUGGAUUGAUCCACUCUGCAUCGGAGAGCAGCCCCUAAAACCUCUCUCUGCUGCCUCAUUUCCUUCACUCUCUGCUGCUGUCUGAACCUCUCUUGCAAGAGGGCAAUGGAUGAAUGAACUGCUGGGUCACUCUGCCUUCCCAUCAGCAAAAUGAAUUGGAGCCUGUCAAUGGUACUGGGGAGAAUGCUCUAUAUGGCGGUUUGAUGUUGCUAUAUUCCUAUUUAUAGGACAUUGGUAAGUUUUGAAAUCAUUAAUCUAUUUGAUGUAAGGCCUUUAAUUGAUUAUCGAUGAUGUAGAAGGAAAAGGUAGAAUCGGCCGCUGGGAUGAAGAGUCCAAGAAGGCAGAGUUAUGUGGCAAUGUUUUGAGGUAAAAGUACAUGAUAGGAAGAAAAGGGUAGCAAAAAAAAUCCAAAAUUGAGGUGGAAUGUAGCAUUUGGAAGGUUUUCUUUUUGCAGAAUAAAAGGAUGGUUGAUGCACUGUUGGCUUGUUGCCAAGAGCUAUUGGCCUUUGGAGAAGAUGGUGCCCCAUUUUGUUGGGGGAUUUGGUGGGAUCUUAUAUUAUUCACCUAUCAACAUUCUCUUCUCACUUCUGUUGAGAGAGCAAAAAAAAAAGUUGAGAUUGAGGAUGUCGUAGCAGGACAAGAGUUGGAACAUAGAAUAGAGUCUGAACUUUGAGGUUGAUGUUUGUAUCUAUGGAACCCUUUUAUGGAGAAAAGAGAAGUCUCCUUCUCUUUCCAUUUUCUGUUUUGUCUGGAAGUUGUUGGAUAGAUAUGGCAUGGAAGGAGAAAGCUAUAGAUAUUGGAUUCUUUUAGUGGCUCUUCUUGUUGGAAUACUCAUAGUCUUUGAACUUAAUUGUUGGAAGAGCGGGCACAGGCUCAAAAGCAGCCUACCCAACUCUAGAUAUUUCAUCGACUUUGCUUUAGCCAUGCAAAAUCACUGAAAAAGGAGAUGAGUGGUGCAACUUUUUUGAGCUUUCUCUUGUCUGAGACCUCAACUAUCUGUGGUCAUAGUGUUGGCAAACACUACACAGUAAAAAUGCAUGUCAAACGGGUGAAACAUAUUUUAUAUUGGUUAGAUAUAGAGAACCAAUUCUUGUCAUUCUGUUAACAAAAUCAUGGCCAAUGCAAAGAUAUUGCAGAAAAGCAAGGCUUCAAAUUGUUUAUUUCAAUGGUGAUUAAACCAACUAAAGCAGGCUGUUUCAUAAUCCCAAAGCGGGGAAUUAUUAGCUUAAGCUGCAAAUUAAUUGCCCAAAAAUCAAGUUUCCAUUUUGGAGUUCUAACUAGAAAUCCAAGACUAAAGGUUGUUGGGCGAAAAGCUUUCAGCAGCUAC